UUUUUUAAUUGAAAGCUUGUAUGAAUGGUUGAAUAAAAUAUAUUCUGUUUCAAAUGAAAAUUUAGAAUUUUAUUUUUUAAUUAAAAAGUUAAAAUGUAAUUAAAGGACGAGAAGACCCUAUAAAGUUUUAUAAUUUUUUAAUAAUAAUUUAUUUAAGAUAUUUAAAAUUUUUUUUAGAAAAUUAUUUUAUUGGGGAGAUAAUAAAAUUUAAAAAACUUUUAUUUUUUAAAACAUAAAUUAAUGAUUUUAUGAUCCUUUAUUAUUGAUUAAAAAUUUAAAUUACUUUAGGGAUAACAGCGUUAUUUUUUUUUUAAGUUCAUAUUUAUAAAAAAGAUUGC
rnacentral:rRNA from 1 species